GGGGGGGGGGGGGGGGGGGGGGGGGGGGGGGGGGGGGGGGGGGGGGGGGGGGGGUCACAGGGGUGAACCCCAAAAUCCCCCCAGGGAGGGGAGGGGGGGCUCAGGACCCCCCCAAAAUUGGGGUUUGGAGCAGAGGAUCCCCAAUUAAUGCUCCAAGUCGGGGGUUCUGGAAAGGGGAUUUUGGGGGGUCCCAGGACGAUUUGAAGGGGAAAAAUGAUCCCAAAAAGGAAUUUGGGGAGUCCCAAAUUGGGAUUUUGGUGAAUCCCAGAAAAAUUCCAAGAAAGGAACGACCCCAAAAUCAAAUCUGGGGCGUUCCAGGGAAUUUUUGGUGGAAGAUUACGGGAAAAAAAUUGGGGUGCUUGAAACAAUCUGGGGAUCCCAGGGGGAAUUUUGGGUGUCCCAGGGCAGUUCUUGGCUGCCCAGGAAGAUUUUUGGUUAUUUCAGGGCAGUUUUUGGGGUGCCCAUUGCAGUUUUUGGGGUUCCCCAGUCCAUUUCUGGGGUUCCCCAGUCUGUUUUUGGGAUGCCCCGGGCAGUUUUUGGUUAUUUCAGGGCAGUUUUUAGUAAUUUCAGGGUGGUUUUGGGGUUCCCCCAUGCAUUCUUGGGUUAUUUCAGGGUAGUUUUUGGGUUUCUCAGGUCAGUUUUGGGGUACCCAGGACAGUUUUUUGGUUCCCCAGUCCAUUUCCGGUUAUUCCACAUCAGUUUUGGGUAUUUCAGGUCAGUUUUUGGGUUCCCCUGUCAGUUUUUUGUUAUCCCAGCCCGGUUUAUUUUAUCCCAGGCCUGUUUUUGGGGUGCCCAUUGCAGUUUUUUGUUAUCCCAGGUUGGUUUUGGUUAUCCCAGCCCGGUUUAGUUCCUCCCAGCCCGGUUUUUGGUUAUCCCAGGCCGGUUUUUGGGAUGUCCAUUGCAGUUUUUGGUUAUCCCAGCCCAGUUUUAAGUUAUCCCAGGUCAGUUUUUGGUCAUCCCAGGCCGGUUUUUGGGGUGCCCAUUGCAGUUUUUGGUUAUCCCAGCCCGGUUUUUGGUUAUCCCAGUCCAUUUUUGGAUACCCCAGGUCAGUUUUUGGUCAUCCCAGGCCGGUUUUUGGGAUGUCCAUUGCAGUUUUUGGAUAUCCCAGUCCAUUUUUGGUUAUCCCAGCCCGGUUUUAAGUUAUCCCAGGUCAGUUUUAGGUUAUCCCAGGUCAGUUUUAGGUUAUCCCAGGUCAGUUUUUGGUCAUCCCAGGUCGGUUUUUGGUCGUCCCGGCCGGUUCAGCUCCCCGCUCACCCUCGGAGAUGGGCCCGAAGGAGCUGAAGUGCUGCUCCAGGCCCUGCUCGUCCGUGUCGUAGUUGAGGCCGCCCACGAAGAGCUUCCCCUCCCCCGCCGCCAUGCGUGGGGGGGCGGCGGCGGCCGUGACGUCAUAGGGCGGGGCCCGGCCCCUGCGGUGACGUUACAACCUGGGGACGCAGCCGUUGUGACGUCAUAACCCCAUCCCCCUUCCCCCAGCAAGGGUUCUCUGAUCCUCGUGACGUCAUACCCUCACCCCCCGCCUGCUGCCUAAUGACGUCACAGCUCACUUAACACCAUCCCCCCCACGCGGCUCCCAGUGACGUCACACCUCCCCUUAGAAACCCCAAAUUUUACGAAAUUCCCCCCGUGACGCCAUCACUGCCCGCCAGCAACACGCGUCCCCUCCUGCUGACGUCACAGAGCCCCUCCCGGCGCCCCCAUGACGUCACCCAUCCCCCACGUGGUUCCCUCCCCUCCCCAGACCCCCCCCCCC
rnacentral:lncRNA from 12 species